UCCUACGGGAGGCAGCAGUGGGGAAUUUUGGACAAUGGGGGCAACCCUGAUCCAGCAAUGCCGCGUGAGUGAAGAAGGCCCUCGGGUUGUAAAGCUCUUUUGUCAGGGAAGAAAAGGUUGUGGCUAAUAUCCAUGACUCAUGACGGUACCUGAAGAAUAAGCACCGGCUAACUACGUGCCAGCAGCCGCGGUAAUACG
rnacentral:rRNA from 1 species